UGGAAGAAAACUUUCCCUUCGUUCAAUGUAGUUAGGUCUUCAGGUUCGUGCUUCUGUACUUGCAGAUCUUGAUGCUUUCUCCCAAAGUCCUGAUGACAACAGGCACCUCAGAUGCAAGGUCCAGCCACAAGAUGCUUCAGUGGACGAUGUGGCUUCCAUUGCUAAGGAGACUGAACAGGAUUUAGGACAAAUCAAGUCCUUAAUCUUCUUUCAGGGGCCUGGUUUAGCUGCAAGACAGCAACAAGCUGCCUUUGACUCUAAGUGAACACUAAAGGCCAAAACAAAGUCCAGGGAAAUUUGAAUAGAUCCUAACAAAUGACUGUAGUUAGAAGUGAAAUGAAAACUUUGUGGGAACUGGUAUUUAUUUUCAUGUCAAUGUGGUUUUAUUUCUGGAAUGUGAUAGGAAGAGAAUAAUACAUAUUGGAAGAGGCUUCUGGAGGUCAUUUAGCCUAAUCCGCUUCUCACAACAGGGUCAACUGCUUUGAUGUAAAUGUUGAUGACCAUGACCGUGAAUAUGGAAGAAGCUGCCUCCACUGCUCUUCUUUGGAUUGUGCCUUUGGGUAGCACAGAAGCAGGGAAACUAUGAGGCAUCUUCAGAACCUAGGAGCUCCACAGAGAUGGAAAAGACUUGGAAGGAACAAACUUGGUCUUCUUAUCAAUCUUGAUUUAAUGAUAUGUGCUGUCUCUGCUGUAACUCCCAGAGACCUAACAGCCUUGAAUCUGGGGCCCUCAACAGCCACCAGCUUGGAAUUUAUUUUUUUUUUACUGUGACUGAUCUUCAGGAUGACUACAUUUAAGUUUUGUCUCUGUGAAUGCAAUGAAGAGAGAAAUUUGUUUCCGUUACAGAGAAAUCACUACAGUACUGGAAGGCCAUGAUGAGGUGUCCCUGGAGCCUUCUCUUCUACAAAUUAAAGAAGCCCAGCUCCCUGAACCUUCUCAUCAGAGAGCUAGUCCCUCCCUCUGAUCAUCUAAUGGCCCUCCUCUGGACCCACUCCAACAAUUCCACAUCUUUACCGUGUUGGGAACUCAAGGCCUGGAUGCAGCACUUCAGAUGGGGCUUCAUGAGGGCAGAGCAAAGAGGGACAAUCCCCUCCUUUGCCCUGCUGGCCACUCCUCUUUUGAUGCAGCCCAAGAUGCAGUUGCCCUUCUGGGCUGCAAGCACCUUGCACUUGGCCUAUUAAACAUCACUAGGUUCUUGUAAGCCCAACUGGUCCCAAGAUGAGCACCUGGGUGACAACACUCAUCACCAGCCUCCACAGAGGACACAGAGCUAUUGGCCACAACCCUCUGGCUUCAACCAUCCAACUAAUUCUUUAUCCACUGAGUAGUCCACCUUUCAAAUCUGUAUCUCUGCAAGUUAGAGAUGUGGAUGUGGUAAGGGACCAUGCACAAGUCCAAGUAGAUGACAUCAGUUACCCUUCCUUGGUUCACUGAUGCCAUCACUACAUCACGGAAGGCCACCAGAUUGGUCAGGCACCAUCUGCCCUUGAGGAAGCUGUGCUGGCUGUCUCAGAUUGUCACCUCUUCAUCUUGCAUGUGACACAAGUGCUAUGGUGUUCAUUUGAAGGUUAUCAAAGAAGCUUAGAGAUAUGUUAUACUGGAAACAGGUAAAGGUGAGGGAUUUAUUUAAUGUCAGAUUGCAGCUCAAGAUCUCCCUAGGACCUGUCUGCUCCAUGUAAAGUAUUUUAGUUGUUUGGCCUGAAUUCAUUGAAUUCCUUGACUGUCCUGUGGGCACUCUAAUCACCAUAGUUGGGAGGUCUAGAUUAGGGUGCAGGAACAAAGUCACCAAUGUGCAGCUAUGGAUUGUUUUUCAGCUGCCUCAUAGAUCUUAUCUGUCAGGCUUUUUAGCAGAAAUCUGCUAAAAGGUUUCUGCGUGUGUAUCAUUUGAGUGGUUCUCUAACCAGUUAUUCUCUUGCUGAGCAGGAGUGACAGAAGGACUGACUGCCAAAAGCUGGGCACACAGAAGUGAUGGCUGUAGUCAGAUCCCCCUAUGGAAGCAGGCCUCUGCAGCCUUAACUAGCUGACUGGGAUCAUAAGCUUGGUUGAUAUAUGACAGUUUUGAUGGGGAAACACAAGCAAUGGAUGUGGUGACUAGAGAUGACUGGCAAAAGCAUCUUCUUUCUGUGGAAAGUGUUGGGAGUUAUGGCAAUUCACAAUUCCUGCUCAUGCAUGGGGUGCUGAAUGCUGGCAGGGCAGAGUGUAAUUCCUGACAUUGCUGGGAGGCUGGAAGAGAAGAAAAAGCCAAGGAAAGCCUGGCAGUGAAGUCAGUGCUGAUUGUGCAACCCAGCCCAUUGACAUCAUGUAACAUAAUGGUAUAUAAUUGCAUACAGAGAGACACAGCUCUCUUGGAUGGAGGACAAGAGAGGUUCCUGUUCUGCAGAGCAAACCCUAUGACUUCCUUGAAGAAGUCCUAGAUGUCCUGCCCGCCUCUGAGCUGCAGGCUCUUGGAUUUUGUUUUGGGAGCAGGCCCUUCCACCAACACAGGAGCCAGCAUGGAGACUCCAGCAAGCCAGGGGUGUUCUCUGCAUGGGAGCAGCUGCUGCAGGUUCAAUGCCAAUAGAAACCCAGAUGAACUCAGAUGAGUUUUGACACAUAAAUGAGGUAUCAUAGGAGGACUACAAGACACCAAAGGUCAAUCUCUGUUUGCUGUGUCCAGUGUUGUUUGUUCCUGUGCCUUGCUGGCAAAGAAAAAAAUCCAGCCAGCUCCCACAGAACACUCCCAGUGACCCCCAGUACUGCCUUGAGCUUUCUGAGCACCCUCCUAGAGUGUCCAGUACUACUGAGUUCACCCCAGUACUGACUAGAGAUUCCCAAUGCUCCUUAGAGCUUCCCAGUACCCUCCCAGUGCCCUCAGUACUGACUGGAGACCCCUAAUACCCUUGCAGUGCCGUCAGUACUGACUAGAGUCCCUCAGAGCCCUCCCAGGAUAGCUGUGCAUGCAGUGACAGUGCACUUGGCUGAACUGAGAAAGGAAUAAACCCUUCUGACACCCACCUGAUCUCAAGAAAUUAGUCAGUAAGCUCCCACCUACCGUGAAGAGCAGAUUAGGAGCAUCUGCUGAGAAUCCUGAUUAUCUUUUUUUUUGCUGCCAAAUAUUCUGUGGCUGUCAGUUUUACACAGGUUUGUCAUGGCAGACUCAAUCUGUGUGUGCCUACCAUGCUACAAACAGGUGCAAAGAACACCAUCAUGUUCCCGCUCCACAACAUGGACAUACCUAUGAGACUAGUUUCUCUUUAGAGAUCAAAUGAAGUGCCUUAAGUAGAAGAAGGCAACCUUUGAGGCCUCGUGUUUUUGCCCGAUGUCUGAGCAGGCUGUGAUUUGAGCUGGAGUAAUUUUGCUUGGACAGCAUUAUAUUAGAGGAAACCAUCGCUAUGUUUGAGUUUAAAUUACUCUUUAUUCAUUGUGAUGAAAAGAAAGCAGCAAAGCUCUCUUGUCUCUCUUGAGCCAAGACAGGAGCUGAGUUCCUGCUCUUCCCUGCAGCAGGAGAAAGAGUCUUUCUACUUCACUGGUAAGGUCAAAUAAUGCAAAGCCACAGAUAAAAAUGCAGAGACUGUCUUGUUUUUGUUUUUAUUUCUGUUUUUUCUUUUUUUCUUUUCUUUUUCCUCAGGUAGGAGCAUUUCUUUCAGUCUCUUUUUUCUUUCCCUACCUUCUUUCUUCUAACUCCAUAUCUUUCUAAAAUACAUCAAACAUCUUCUUGAUCACACAUUUCUGAGCACAAUUCUUACCUUUCUCAUAUAGGAUUUUCUUCCAGGGUUUGUGAAGUACUCCUUGUUAGCAUGAAAUGCAGAAAAGCCAGAUGGUUUGGCUGGAGUCCAGUUACCUAAGAAACGUAGCAAUAGGACCCUAUCAGAAGCUGUUUCCUCUAAAGAUCACUCUUGACCUGCUUUGUUCUAAUAACCAGCUUAGAGUCAGCAUUGAGCUGUCAGUGCAUACUUUCCCCCCAUAAUUAAUCUACUAGAGUCAGCCUGAAAUCAAUAUCAGUGACUUUGUGGCUCCUUUUUUCCCCCCUUCAAAUAUUGUUUCUCCAUAUGACCCUUCAAAGGGAUGUUGAAUGACGCAAGCUAUUUUUCACCAGUAGUGCUGUAGUGGAAGUUUUGAUGGUAUUUCUCUCUCCCUGGUCUGAAGCACCUGGUUUGUCCAAGCUCUGGGAUGGCUGGAUAUGCUCUGCUACUUCCCCAGUGGCUUCAGAGCUCCUAUAGCUCCCACGGUUGUUCUGGCCACUGGGUACAGAUGGGGGAUAAGGUGUGUGUUGCUGUGCACGCAUAGUCUGGGACAAAGAAAUGCAUGUGGUCAUGAUCCCUCAGACCAUGAUGAACAGAAUUGUAUCCCAGAAAAGCAGUGCCCAUCACUCAGACAUGGGGGAUGUGAUUUAGCAGCUUCUUAGUGUCUUGCUCCAAGCAGAAUGCUCUGCUCUGCCAAUUGAUUUUUCGUAUUGAGAUCAGAACUGUUUUUUCUUCUUAAUCAAGGGAGAUUGAGAGCUGUCAGGCUCAGUAGGAAUCUGGCCCCCUUGACUCCUGCAGUGUUAUUGCUGUGAUUGCUGGCAUGGUCAGUGCCUUACCUCUAAGGUGUCCUUCUCUCUUCAGAGCUCUUACACUGUUGUUGUCUUUUUUUUUUUUCCUGUCUGUGAUUACUCUUGCGUAAUUGUUCCAUUAAAGUGGAUAUCAAAAUAAUUGGACAGUCCCUCAGUAGAUGUAAAAUUUAUUGUCCGCUUGUGCCUUUGUGCUGAAGUUAGGAUCUUGGAUUUAAAAAAUCCUUUUUCUCCUGGCGAUGUGGGAGUUUCCCCUAAAGAUGUGGAAUGUUUACUGCAUACCAAAGGCAAGAUAUUUUGCAGGCACGAGGCUCCUAACACCUACCAUUUCUAAACUGCAUGUGGCCUGUAUGGAUUUCCUUGUGCUGAAUUCACAUGGAAACACAAACAUAUGUGGCAUUUUUGUUGCUUUUCUAG
ensembl:lncRNA